AUUGAACGCUGGCGGCAGGCCUAACACAUGCAAGUCGAACGGUAACAGGAAGAAGCUUGCUUCUUUGCUGACGAGUGGCGGACGGGUGAGUCAUGUCUGGGAAACUGCCUGAUGGAGGGGGAUAACUACUGGAAACGGUAGCUAAUACCGCAUAACGUCGCAAGACCAAAGAGGGGGACCUUCGGGCCUCUUGCCAUCGGGUGUGCCCAGAUGGGAUUAGCUAGUAGGUGGGGUAACGGCUCACCUAGGCGAAGAUCCCUAGCUGGUCUGAGGGGAUGACCAGCCACACUGGAACUGAGACACGGUCCAGACUCCUACGGGAGGCAGCAGUGGGGAAUAUUGCACAAUGGGCGCAAGCCUGAUGCAGCCAUGCCGCGUGUAUGAAGAAGGCCUUCGGGUUGUAAAGUACUUUCAGCGGGGAGGAAGGGAGUAAAGUUAAUACCUUUGCUCAUUGACGUUACCCGCAGAAGAAGCACCGGCUAACUCCGUG
rnacentral:rRNA from 1 species